rnacentral:rRNA from 1 species
AUUGAACGCUGGCGGCAGGCCUAACACAUGCAAGUCGAGCGGAUGAAGGGAGCUUGCUCCUGGAUUCAGCGGCGGACGGGUGAGUAAUGCCUAGGAAUCUGCCUGGUAGUGGGGGAUAACGUCCGGAAACGGGCGCUAAUACCGCAUACGUCCUGAGGGAGAAAGUGGGGGAUCUUCGGACCUCACGCUAUCAGAUGAGCCUAGGUCGGAUUAGCUAGUUGGUGGGGUAAAGGCCUACCAAGGCGACGAUCCGUAACUGGUCUGAGAGGAUGAUCAGUCACACUGGAACUGAGACACGGUCCAGACUCCUACGGGAGGCAGCAGUGGGGAAUAUUGGACAGUGGGCGAAAGCCUGAUCCAGCCAUGCCGCGUGUGUGAAGAAGGUCUUCGGAUUGCAAAGCACUUUAAGUUGGGAGGAAGGGCAGUAAGUUAAUACCUUGCUGUUUUGACGUUACCAACAGAAUAAGCACCGGCUAACUUCGUG